rnacentral:siRNA from 1 species
GUCAACGGGUGUGGCCUGCAAUUU